rnacentral:rRNA from 1 species
CACGUAGGGGGCGAGCGUUGUCCGGAUUCAUUGGGCGUAAAGAGCUCGUAGGCGGCUCAGUAAGUCGGGUGUGAAACCCUCAGGCUCAACCUGGGGACGCCACUCGAUACUGCUGUGGCUAGAGUCCAGUAGAGGAGUGUGGAAUUCCCGGUGUAGCGGUGAAAUGCGCAGAUAUCGGGAGGAACACCAAUGGCGAAGGCAGCUCGCUGGGACGUUACUGACGCUGAGACGCGAAAGCGUGGGGAGCAAACAGG